CUACGGGCGGCAGCAGUGGGGAAUAUUGCACAAUGGGCGCAAGCCUGAUGCAGCCAUGCCGCGUGUAUGAAGAAGGCCUUCGGGUUGUAAAGUACUUUCAGCGGGGAGGAAGGGAGUAAAGUUAAUACCUUUGCUCAUUGACGUUACCCGCAGAAGAAGCACCGGCUAACUCCGUGCCAGCAGCCGCGGUAAUACGGAGGGUGCAAGCGUUAAUCGGAAUUACUGGGCGUAAAGCGCACGCAGGCGGUUUGUUAAGUCAGAUGUGAAAUCCCCGGGCUCAACCUGGGAACUGCAUCUGAUACUGGCAAGCUUGAGUCUCGUAGAGGGGGGUAGAAUUCCAGGUGUAGCGGUGAAAUGCGUAGAGAUCUGGAGGAAUACCGGUGGCGAAGGCGGCCACCUGGACGAAGACUGACGCUCAGGUGCGAAAGCGUGGGGAGCAAACAGGAUUGAUACCCUAGUAGUC
rnacentral:rRNA from 1 species